rnacentral:lncRNA from 1 species
GGCCUGGCUCCCAACAGCCUACCAGAUGAUUUUUGAGCACCCUGUUUGCUCCUACGUAUGUGACGAUCCACACGAAUGAAGACCUUUGUCCAUUAUGCUUACCAAAGAGUCCAUCCCUUCCUGGCACUGCAUCCUGGGAGUAUGUGUGGGGUGCACUGUACCUCUAGCUGCUUACAGGUCAGGCUCUCAACAGGCACAGCUUAAUUUACGAACACGCUCACGUUUCGUUUAUUUUUAUAAACCUUUAAAGUUGCUGAUGACGAUAACUAUAGAAAAGCCAUGCCUUAAACUGUGAAGGGACUCCUCUUGGGCAGGAGCCGGUGGGAUGGACUCGCCAUGGAGGAGCUGUGGCUGCAGGGAGCAGUGUGGCAGUUCUGCCGAUGGAGGCACUUCGGGGUUAGAACAGCGAAUGCCCAUGCCUAGGUUUGUGCGGGGAUUGAGAAUCUAGUCCGAAAAGCUGCACUCACCCUCGAUUAUGUGCAGGCUGCGUGUCCACCUCUCCCCACCCACUGCAUAGAAGGCUCAUUUGGUGUGUUUUACAUGUAAAGAUUCUGGAAGAGUCAAUAGUCGAUGUCUUCAUAAAGGAAAAACAAAUCUUACUAGAAAAACUAAGUGAAAGUGGUCUCCUGGCAUGAAGUGAUAUUUCCUCCAAACUGUAUCUGUCAGAUGUUUAAUUCCAACUAGUAUUUUGAGGGUUUUAAGAACUGACAUUAAAAUAUUAUAAAAGAAUUAUAUAAUAAAGAUUUGUUUUUGAUGAAUUUUGA